rnacentral:rRNA from 1 species
AUAGUACCCAUUUCUACAAAACCAUCGGGGAACCAUAGUGUGCUGAGGAAAUGUUGCACACUGCUCGGUAGAAUAGUGGCCAGCAGGCCGCGGUAAUUCCAGCUCCCAAUAGCGUAUAUUUAAGUUGUUGCAGUUAAAAAGCUCGUAGUUGGAUUUCGGGUGGGUUCUAGCGGUCCGCCUAUGGUGAGUACUGCUAUGGCCUUCCUUUCUGUCGGGGACGGGCUUCUGGGCUUCACUGUCCGGGACUCGGAGUCGACGUGGUUACUUUGAGUAAAUUAGAGUGUUCAAAGCAGGCUUACGCCCUGAAUACUUUAGCAUGGAAUAACACGAUAGGACUCUGGCCUAUCUUGUUGGUCUGUAGGACCGGAGUAAUGAUUAAGAGGGACAGUCGGGGGCAUUCGUAUUUCAUUGUCAGAGGUGAAAUUCUUGGAUUUAUGAAAGACGAACUACUGCGAAAGCAUUUGCCAAGGAUGUUUUCAUUAAUCAAGAACGAAAGUUGGGGGCUCGAAGACGAUUAGAUACCGUCGUAGUCUCAACCAUAAACGAUGCCGACUAGGGAUUGGCGAAUGUUUUUUUAAUGACUUCGCCAGCACCUUAUGAGAAAUCA